rnacentral:rRNA from 1 species
UACGAGGGGGGCAAGCGUUGUUCGGAAUUAUUGGGCGUAAAGGGCGCGUAGGCGGUGCGGUAAGUCACCUGUGAAAUCUCCUGGCUCAACUGGGAGCUUGCAGGCGAAACUGCCGUGCUGGAGUGUGGGAGAGGUGCGUGGAAUUCCUGGUGUAGCGGUGAAAUGCGUAGAUAUCAGGAGGAACACCGGUGGCGAAGGCGGGUCUCUGGGCAGUAACUGACGCUGAGGAGCGAAAGCGUGGAGCGAACAGG